rnacentral:rRNA from 1 species
CCUACGGGCGGCAGCAGUGAGGAAUAUUGGUCAAUGGACGAGAGUCUGAACCAGCCAAGUAGCGUGAAGGAUGACUGCCCUAUGGGUUGUAAACUUCUUUUAUAUGGGAAUAAAACGUUCCACGUGUGGGAUUUUGUAUGUACCAUAUGAAUAAGGAUCGGCUAACUCCGUGCCAGCAGCCGCGGUAAUACGGAGGAUCCGAGCGUUAUCCGGAUUUAUUGGGUUUAAAGGGAGCGUAGGUGGAUUGUUAAGUCAGUUGUGAAAGUGUGCGGCUCAACCGUAAAAUUGCAGUUGAAACUGGCAGUCUUGAGUACAGUAGAGGUGGGCGGAAUUCGUGGUGUAGCGGUGAAAUGCUUAGAUAUCACGAAGAACUCCGAUUGCGAAGGCAGUUCACUGGACUGCAACUGACACUGAGGCUCGAAAGUGUGGGUAUCAAACAGGAUUAGAUACCCUUGUAGUC